rnacentral:rRNA from 1 species
UUUUACCUUGUUGCUUCGGCGGGCCCGCCUUUACUGGCCGCCGGGGGGCUUCACGCCCCCGGGCCCGCGCCCGCCGAAGACACCCUCGAACUCUGUCUGAAGAUUGAAGUCUGAGUGAAAAUAUAAAUUAUUUAAAACUUUCAACAACGGAUCUCUUGGUUCCGGCAUCGAUGAAGAACGCAGCGAAAUGCGAUACGUAAUGUGAAUUGCAAAUUCAGUGAAUCAUCGAGUCUUUGAACGCACAUUGCGCCCCCUGGUAUUCCGGGGGGCAUGCCUGUCCGAGCGUCAUUGCUGCCCUCAAGCCCGGCUUGUGUGUUGGGCCCCGUCCUCCGAUUCCGGGGGACGGGCCCGAAAGGCAGCGGCGGCACCGCGUCCGGUCCUCGAGCGUAUGGGGCUUUGUCACCCGCUCCGUAGGCCCGGCCGGCGCUUGCCGAUCAACCCAAAUUUUUAUCCAGGUUGACCUCGGAUCAGGUAGGGAUACCCGCUGAACUUAA